rnacentral:tRNA from 1 species
UCAAAAGAAGGCUCGGGGGCCUGUUUUUGGGGUCCAGGACCAAUGUUUUGGUUAAACUAUCUUUUG